UACGAAGGGGGCUAGCGUUGCUCGGAAUCACUGGGCGUAAAGGGUGCGUAGGCGGGUUUUUAAGUCAGGGGUGAAAUCCUGGAGCUCAACUCCAGAACUGCCUUUGAUACUGAAGAUCUUGAGUCCGGGAGAGGUGAGUGGAACUGCGAGUGUAGAGGUGGAAUUCGUAGAUAUUCGCAAGAACACCAGUGGCGAAGGCGGCUCACUGGCCCGGUACUGACGCUGAGGCACGAAAGCGUGGGGAGCAAACAGG
rnacentral:rRNA from 1 species